AACUUUAUCACAAGAAUGAAAAAAUACAGGACCUGCAAAUCAGUUCACUCUUAUGGUCUCACUAGAAUUAAUUAGAAGUAUAUUUUGGUGCUAGAGAAUUGUAAGAAUUUCUGAUUUUGGUGGCUCCCAUGGAGGAGCGAGCUUCAUUCAUCUAUAUAUGUUUACUGUCCAGUAGCCAUGACAACCGCCGGGGGAGGCAUGGCAUGACCUGCAAAUUUAUUCCGUUAUGGCAAGGUGGAGCGCCCUUUUCCGGGAUACAGCUGCAUGAACUGCUUCCAGAAGGAGGCACAGUACCUGAAUUCAGAGACUGUAAAGGGACAAGUCCUAUCUUGAUCCACUCUUCUUUCUCCCCAUCAAGAACCCUACCAGCACUGUGUGGCUGGACGCUCAGAACAAGAACGAAGUGCCGUGACAGCUAAAACAAUGUCCAGAAACCUCAUGAUCUUGGCGGGUUAAGCAAAGAGGAGAUGAUCAAAGAAAUAUUUUUAGCUGGACAAAUUAAUAUGCAUAUA
rnacentral:lncRNA from 1 species